ACGGGAGGCAGCAGUGGGGAAUAUUGCACAAUGGGCGCAAGCCUGAUGCAGCAACGCCGCGUGAGUGAUGAAGGUCUUCGGAUUGUAAAACUCUGUCCUUAGGGACGAAACAAAUGACGGUACCUGAGGCUGCAGCCCCGGCUAACUACGUGCCAGCAGCCGCGGUAAUACGUAGGGGGCGAGCGUUAUCCGGAAUUAUUGGGCGUAAAGAGUACGUAGGUGGUUUUGUAAGCGUAAGGUGAAAGCCCGGGGCUUAACGCCGGCGAGCUUUACGAACUGCAAGACUUGAGUGCAGGAGGGGAAAGUGGAAUUCCUAGUGUAGCGGUGAAAUGCGUAGAUAUUAGGAGGAACACCGGUGGCGAAGGCGACUUUCUGGACUGUAACUGACACUGAGGUACGAAAGCGUGGGGAGCAAACAGGAUUAGAUACCCUGGUA
rnacentral:rRNA from 1 species